UCUUCUCAUCGCUCGCUCUUUCUCUCUGUCUUCUUCUUCUACUUGCCUUGCCUCUCCUUAACUCCACACCACAAAGCUCUCUCUCAGGAAACCAUGGAAAUUAGGGUUUAGAUUUGAUCAGCUUCUGUUAGUCUAACUUAAUCUCCAUUCAUGGCGUCUUCUUCUUUAUCUCUGCCAGACCUUACCUUCCUCUCCCCACAAACCACACUCAAACACCGUUUGUCUCUCUCUAGACAUUCUCUUUCUAGACUUUUUCUUUCUACCAACCAAAUUAAGAGCAGUCUUCCCAUCCGGAUUCGAGUUCGGGCUAUUAGAGAAGAGAGUUUGGUAAUUGAAGAGAGGGAGAGUGAAUUGCUAAAAGAAGUGAAUGGAACUAAUGGCGCUGCUUCAACUAGUAGUAAUGGUGAUGAUUAUGGUUUUAAUGGAUCGAAUGGUAGUUAUACGAAUGGUGGCGUGAGUGUAAUGGAAAGUGAGAAGAAAGAAGUGACCAAUGGAAGUUUGGUAAAGUACGUGAAUGGGAACGGUGUUGCUGCGACCGAAAUGGUGGUGGAGGAUGAGGUAGAGUUAAAGGAGGAUGGGCGGAAGAAGAGGAUAGAAGAGAUUGGAAAAGAAGAUGCAUGGUUUAAAAGUGCAGGGAAACAAGUUGAGGUUUCUGUUGCACCUGGGGGCCGCUGGAGUAGAUUUAAAACCUAUUCAACAAUUCAGAGAACUUUGGAAAUAUGGGGAUUUGUCUUUAAAUUCAUAUUCAGAGCUUGGUUGAACAACCAGAAAUUCUCUUAUAGAGGAGGAAUGACAGAGGAGAAAAAAGUUCUAAAGCGAAAAGCCCUUGCCAAGUGGUUAAAGGAAAAUAUAUUAAGACUGGGUCCUACAUUCAUCAAGAUUGGGCAGCAGUUUUCUACUAGAGUGGACAUUCUUGCUCAGGAGUAUGUUGAUCAAUUGUCUGAGCUCCAGGAUCAAGUUCCUCCUUUUCCAUCAGAGACUGCUGCAUCUAUAGUUGAAGAAGAGCUUGGAGCCCCCCUGGAUGAUGUCUUUGAUCGGUUUGACUAUGAACCAAUUGCUGCUGCAAGUCUUGGUCAGGUUCACCGUGCAAGAUUGAAGGGACAGGAAGUUGUAAUCAAAGUUCAAAGACCUGGUCUCAAGGACCUUUUUGAUAUUGAUCUUAAAAACCUCAGGGUAAUUGCAGAAUACCUUCAAAAGAUUGACCCCAAGUCAGAUGGUGCAAAGAGGGAUUGGGUUGCAAUUUAUGAUGAAUGUGCAACUGUCUUGUAUCAGGAGAUUGAUUACACCAAGGAAGCUGCUAACGCAGAAUUGUUUGCAAGCAAUUUCAAAGAUAUGGAUUAUGUCAAAGUCCCAAAAAUUUUCUGGGAAUACACAACGCCACAGGUUUUGACAAUGGAGUAUGUCCCGGGGAUCAAAAUAAACAAAAUACAAGCUUUAGAUCAAUUGGGUGUUGACCGUAAAAGGUUGGGUCGGUAUGCUGUUGAAUCUUACUUGGAACAAAUUCUAUCUCAUGGCUUUUUCCACGCUGAUCCACAUCCAGGAAAUAUUGCUGUUGAUGAUAUCAACGGUGGGAGGUUGAUAUUUUAUGAUUUUGGAAUGAUGGGAAGUAUCAGUCCAAACAUCAGGGAAGGGUUGUUGGAAGCAUUUUAUGGAAUUUACGAGAAGGAUCCUGAUAAGGUACUCCAGGCAAUGAUCCAAAUGGGUGUCCUUGUGCCUACUGGGGACAUGACAGCUGUCAGACGAACUGCAAAAUUCUUCAUUAACAGUUUCGAGGAACGUCUGGCUGCACAAAGAAAAGAGAGAGAAAUGGGGAUAACAGAACUUGGAUUUAAGAAGCCAUUGACCAAGGAGGAAAAGAUGGAGAAAAAGAAGCAACGCCUGGCUGCAAUUGGAGAAGAUUUAUUAGCCAUUGCAGCAGAUCAACCGUUCAGAUUUCCUGCCACAUUCACAUUUGUUGUUAGAGCAUUUUCAGUAUUGGAUGGCAUUGGGAAGGGCCUUGAUCCACGUUUUGAUAUUACAGAGAUUGCCAAACCCUAUGCACUUGAGUUGCUAAGAUUUCGUGAAGCUGGUGUUGAAGUUCUCUUGAAGGACUUCAGAAAUAGAUGGGACAGGCAGUCUCGUGCAUUCUACAACUUAUUUAGACAGGCUGACAGAAUUCAAAAGCUUGCUGAAACUAUCCAACGAUUGGAGCAAGGUGAUUUAAAGCUUCGAGUUAGAACUCUGGAGUCUGAAAGGGCCUUCCAGCGUGUUGCUGCUGUUCAAAAGACAGUAGGGAGUGCAGUAGCGGCUGGAAGUCUAGUAAACCUUGCAACAAUUUUGUAUCUCAAUUCCAUUCGAGUACCAGCUAUUGCAGCAUAUAUCUUUUGUGCAUUCUUUAGCUUCCAAGUUCUCUUUGGCAUUAUAAAGGUCAAAAAAUUAGAUCAGCAGGAAAGGUUGAUAACAGGAACAGCAUAAAAACUGGUCUCAUACUGGCAGGGUAGUGUCUCCACUUAACCUUUGUUUAGUCUGAUGCAGAUCCUCUUGUUGUUACAAAUUCAGAGUAGAGUGCGAAGCUCACCAAGGGAAAGCUCUGAGCAUUGAAAGACAGAGGUUGAUGAACGUUUUUGUUUAGAUAUCAGCUUCUAGAUUUGUGGUGAAGAAUGAUUGACUGGGCAGUGGUCUUACAUGGAAAGCUUACUGGAAAUUCUGGUGGCCAUUCAGAAUUGCCAUUUAUCUCCACCUCAAGAAUAUGUUGAGGUUUUUGGGCGGCUAUUUUGCCAUAAUUAACAGUUUCAAUGACAAAUAUUGGCAUGUAUAGGUUCCACGGAAAGACGUGUCCAUAAACUCUUAUGUAUAAUAAUAACUUUACAAUGUAAUAUUUAUUAACGAAAUCUACCGAGCUACCCAUUCAUAUGCUGUAAUUGAAAUGUCAUUGUUUUACAUA